CCUACGGGUGGCAGCAGUGGGGAAUAUUGCGCAAUGGGCGAAAGCCUGACGCAGCGACGCCGCGUGAGGGAUGAAGGUCUUCGGAUCGUAAACCUCUGUCAGCAGAGAAGUACGGUCACUGUGCUAAUCAGCAGUGAAUUGACGGUACCUGCAAAGGAAGCACCGGCUAACUCCGUGCCAGCAGCCGCGGUAAUACGGAGGAUGCGAGCGUUACUCGGAAUUACUGGGCGUAAAGCGCUCGUAGGCGGGAUGUCAAGUCAAGGGUGAAAUCCCCGCGCUCAACGUGGGAACUGCAUUUGAAACUGGCAAACUGGAGUGUGGGAGAGGAUAGUGGAAUUCCAGGUGUAGGAGUGAAAUCCGUAGAUAUCUGGAGGAACAUCAGUGGCGAAGGCGACUAUCUGGAACAUAACUGACGCUGAGGAGCGAAAGCGUGGGUAGCAAACAGGAUUAGAUACCCCAGUAGUC
rnacentral:rRNA from 1 species